rnacentral:lncRNA from 1 species
AAUUCAGUUUAGAGUUUUAAGCCCUAAUGCUGACUAAAGGGAAAGUUUAGUUUAGGGUUUAAAACUCUAAUACUGACUGGCUGGAAAGAGUUCAGUUUAGGGUUUAAAAUCCUAAUGCUGACUAAAGGGAAAGUUCAGUUUAGGGUUUAAAACCCUAAUACUGACUGGCUGGAAAAAGUUCAGUUUAGGGUUUAAAACCCUAAUGCUGACUGAAUGGAAAAAGUUCAGUUUAGGGUUUAAAACCCUAAUACUGACUGAAGGAAAGAGUUCAGUUUAGAGUUUUAAGCCCUAAUGCUGACUAAAGGGAAAGUUCAGUUUAGGGUUUAAAACCCUAAUACUGACUGGCUGGAAAGAGUUCAGUUUAGGGUUUAAAACCCUAAUGCUGACUGAAUGGAAAAAGUUCAGUUUAGGGUUUAAAACCCUAAUACUGACUGAAGGAAAGAGUUCAGUUUAGGGUUUAAAACCCUAAUGCUGACUAAAGGGAAAGUUCAGUUUAGGUUUUAAAACCCUAAUACUGACUGGAUUGAAAGAGUUCAGUUUAGGGUUUAAAACUCUAAUGCUGACUGAAUGGAAAAGUUCUGUUUAGGGUUUAAAACCCUAAUACUGACUGAAGGAAAGAGUUUAGUUUAGGGUUUAAAACCCUAAUGCUGACUAAAGGGAAAGUUCAGUUUAGGGUUUCAAACCCUAAUACUGACUGGCUGGAAAGAGUUCAGUUUAGGGUUUAAAACCCUAAUGCUGACUGAAUGGAAAAAGUUCAGUUUAGGGUUUAAAACCCUAAUACUGACUGAAAGAAAGAGUUCAGUUUAGGGUUUAAAACCCUAAUGCUGACUAAAGGGAAAAAGUUCAGUUUAGGGUUUUAAAACCCUAAUGCUGACUAAAGGAAAGAGUUCAGUUUAGGGUUUAAAACCCUAAUGCUGACUAAAGGGAAAAAGUUCAGUUUAGGGUUUUAAAACCCUAAUGCUGACUAAAGGAAAGAGUUCAGUUUAGGGUUUAAUACCCUAAUGCUGACUAAAGGGAAAAAGUUCAGUUUAGGGUUUUAAAAACCCUAAUGCUGACUAAAGGAAAGAGUUCAUUUUAGGGUUUAAAACCCUAAUGCUGACUGAAUGGAAAAAGUUUAGUUUAGGGUUUAAAACCCUAGUGCUGACUAAAGGAAAGAGUUCAGUUUAGGGUUUAAAACCCUAAUGCUGACUUAAGGGAAAGUUCAGUUUAGGUUUUAAAACCCUAAUACUGACUGGAUUGAAAGAGUUCAGUUUAGGGUUUAAAACUCUAAUGCUGACUGAAUGGAAAAG